rnacentral:tRNA from 1 species
AAGGGUAUAGCUCAGUGGUAGAGUGCAUGCUUAGUACUUAACACAAGGUCCUGGGUUCAAUCCCCAGUACCUCCA